UACGUAGGGUGCGAGCGUUAAUCGGAAUUACUGGGCGUAAAGCGUGCGCAGGCGGUUUGUUAAGACAGAUGUGAAAUCCCCGGGCUUAACCUGGGAACUGCAUUUGUGACUGGCAAGCUAGAGUAUGGCAGAGGGGGGUAGAAUUCCACGUGUAGCAGUGAAAUGCGUAGAGAUGUGGAGGAAUACCGAUGGCGAAGGCAGCCC
rnacentral:rRNA from 1 species